CCGGAAUCCAGUAGAUGUCACCUGCCUUCAGUUUCUUCUCUCCGAAUUCGUCUUCGCACAUCACUCCAAGAAACCCUUCUUACCCUCGCCGACAAGAUGGAAAUUACAAGGAAGGAGCCGAUGAGGGAAGGAAUGCCCGUCUCAAAGCAACAGAGUUACUGGAAAUAUUGGUGAAAGGAGAAAGAAGCAGAGCUGCUUACCAUGGCAAACGGAGAGGAUGAUGUGCUAAACGAGGUCGUUGCCGAUACAUGAACGGUGUGACAUUUUAGUUUCAAUAUUUUUUUUAAUUUUUUGUUAGAUAUUU